AUGGCCGAAUCGAAAAGAACUAAGGGUUCUUUCCAGGGUUUUAGUACCUUGGAUAGUCCCUUUAUCCUCUCUAAGAUCAUAAAUAAUGAUGCUAUGGAAAGACCUACCAGGGUUAUCAAUGAAAGUUUGAGUAAUUUUGAUGAAGAUGAUUCCGGAAUUUUUCGUUAUUUACUUGAUGAGACUUUAAAAGAUGCUUGGGAUAGGCUAUUAAGGAUUCGAGCUAGCUAUGUGCCACGAUAUCAAAUUGAGAUAUACUUAAAAAGCUUUUAUGUUGGCUUACUCGCUUCUUUCAAGGAAGUUCUAGAUUCUAUUUUUGAAGGAGGUUUUCUUGAAGGGGAUGCUAUAGAUACCUAUGAAAAAAAUGAAAACUAUAUUUGGGCAUCCCAUGAAUGA
rnacentral:rRNA from 1 species